GACGUACCACCCGAACGUUAUUCGGAAUCACUGGGCUUACAGAGUCCGUAGGCGGUCGAGAAAGUUGGAUGUGAAAUACCUCAGCUCAACUGAGGAAUUGCGUUCAAAACUACUUGGCUAGAGAGAGACAGAGGUGAGCGGAACUGAUGGUGGAGCGGUGAAAUGCGUUGAUAUCAUCAGGAACACCGGUGGCGAAAGCGGCUCACUGGGUCUUUUCUGACGCUGAGGGACGAAAGCUAGGGGAGCGAACGGG
rnacentral:rRNA from 1 species